AUAAAUUUGUUAAUAACAUGGGGCUGGAAUGCCAUAUGUCAGUCCUUGAUCUGCCCUCCAGUGACCCAAGGCAGGGCUGCGGGCCAGGAGCGAUGGACAGAAUCACUAGAUGGUGGGAUGGGACCUCCUGCAAGUCACACACGUGUAAGUGCCACAACCCUCCUGCCGGCCUUGCCCAAGGGCUAAGGGCUCCAGGGAGCAGGGCUGCCUCUGUCCCUGCCCAGCCUCCUUUACCUAGUCUCAUCUGGUCACUUACUUGGCUCUGUUGCCUAGGGAGUGGUUGCCAGCAGAGGACAUGCCCCUUCAUCCCUCCCAAGAAAACUCCUUUGCCCUGAUGGAGAUUCCUGUUAAGGGCUCAGUCCUCUUCCCUGAAGCCAGACUGUGGUUUAUGUCUGGGUGCUGCUGGGUUCAUCCCUUUCCUUUUGUGACAUGGGGUUGCCUCAUUCCCCAUGACACCACCCCUCUGCAUGAGGAAGUUUCCCCUCGCCCCUGUCUCAGACUUUGAUACCUUUACCUGCUGCUCGCACAAAGCCCGUGGUGCUGGGUUCGGGUGCCCUCAUUGUCAGCUGCCCAGGACCCAUUCCCCGAACCUCACAUCCGGGUACUCUUGCCUUCCCCUCCUAUCUCAAUGAUCAUGACCUUGGACAUCUCUGCCAGGCCAAACCCCAAGGCUGGAACGCUAUUCAGCCAUUUCUCCAUUGCAGCUUCCUGGCUGUAGAUUCAGGUUAGAGGUGAACCCAGAAUACCUGAGACGUGACCCAGGAUGGAUGGGUGCUGCUGGAUGUGAAUGAGGUCCCGCAGUGGCUCCUUGGCAUUAGCACUGCUCAGACUCCUUUCCACUGCAGCCCCCUUUCCACAUCCCCCUCCCGCACCAGAUGACUUUGACCCAGACCCAGUGGACACUGCUUCAUCUUGCAGUCAGUCCCUUUUCAACAUGUUUCUGUUUCUUUCUGAAGAGGUGUUCUCCCUCCAUAAGUCACGCUGUCUGUCCCUGGCCCUCCAGCCCACCUAGCCAACCACCCUUGUUGGUUUCCUUCUCAGACUUGCCACCUCUCCCUUCUGCCCCAAAAUGCCAUGCUUCUCUCCUGGAAACCACUUGAGUUGAUUCAGUAAAUCAACUUCAAAUACUUGAAGACUCCCACCUUCUGUUCUCUGGCUCCUUCCUGCAGUCUAUACCUACCGCCUCCUCUUCACCUCCUUCCCUUCCACACUUCCUUCCUGGGUAGCUCUGCCUGAAGCAUUCCACUAGGAUCAUCUAUUCCAAGGUCAUGGACAGGCUACUGAUGACCAAAGUUGGUUCCUUUUCUCCUUUCUUUCCUCCUUGAAGCCUGGCUCCCUUGGUCCCAGCAGCCCCUCAGUGGCCUGGUUCUCCUGUCCCCCUGCCCUUCCUCACCAUUGCCCAUUCCCUCGUUCGUUCAUUCAGCACAGGCCUUGCCGUCUGCCCCGAGUCAGCUCGAGACACCUGAAGAGCCCUCCAGCCCUAACUGCUUUCCUCAGACUAGGUCCCGAGGCCUUUGUUCUUGCCUCUUCUUGCUGAGCCUUUCACUUCUAGGCAGAUGUGGCCAAUUGGUAGCUCCACCCCAACUUCCUUCUGCUGGGUGGAAUGCAGGAGCUAGCUGUCCCCAACUCACACUGUGACCUCAGAAAAACGCCUCUAUUACUCGGGCCUCAGUUUCCUCGUCUUUAAGGGGCUCGGAUGAGAUUAUUUCAGGGCCCUUUCCUAUAAUAAAAUACUGUGACCACCAGCAAA